rnacentral:rRNA from 1 species
GAUUGAACGCUGGCGGGACUGCUUNACACAUGCAAGUCGAGCGGCAGGACGGUACUUUGCUCCGGGGCCUAGUGGCGNACGGGUGAGUAAUGUUUGGAACUGCCAUUAGCGGGGGAAACAUCNCGAAAGGGAUGCUAAUACCGCAUACGCCCUACGGGGAGAAAGCAGGGGAUCUUCGGACCUUUGCACCNUUGAGAUCNGCCNAUGUCGGAUUAGCUAGUUGGUGGGGUAACGGCCCACCAAGGCGACGAUCUGUAGCUGGUUUGAGAGGAUGACAGCCACACUGGGACUGAGACACGGCCCAGACUCCUACGGGAGGCAGCAGUGGGGAAUUUUGGACAAUGGGGGAAACCCUGAUCCAGCCAUCCCCGCGUGUGUAUGAAGGCUUCUGGUUGUAAAGCACUUUAGGCAAGAAGGAGCUCUUAGUUAUACCUACGAUAUUGCCUUCUCCCAAAAACCCCGAUUCUUCAAACCGGGGGAA